rnacentral:rRNA from 1 species
GUGGGGAAUCUUCCGCAAUGGGCGAAAGCCUGACGGAGCAACGCCGCGUGAGUGAUGAAGGCCUUCGGGCUGUAAAACUCUGUUGUCAGGGACGAAGGUGCAUCUUUCGAACAGAUGGGUGUAUUGACGGUACCUGACGAGGAAGCCACGGCUAACUACGUGCCAGCAGCCGCGGUAAUACGUAGGUGGCAAGCGUUGUCCGGAAUUAUUGGGCGUAAAGAGCAUGUAGGCGGGCUUUUAAGUCCGGCGUGAAAAUGCGGGGCUCAACCCCGUAUGGCGUUGGAAACUGGAAGUCUUGAGUGCAGGAGAGGAAAGGGGAAUUCCCAGUGUAGCGGUGAAAUGCGUAGAUAUUGGGAGGAACACCAGUGGCGAAGGCGCCUUUCUGGACUGUGUCUGACGCUGAGAUGCGAAAGCCAGGGUAGCGAACGGGAUUAGAAACCCGGGUAGUCC